AUUGAACGCUGGCGGCAGGCUUAACACAUGCAAGUCGAGCGGAGACUUCGGUCUUAGCGGCGAACGGGUGAGGAAUGCCUGGGAAUCUGCCUGGUAGUGGGGGGAUAACGUUCCGAAAGGAACGCUAAUACCGCAUACGUCCUACGGGAGAAAGCAGGGGACCUUCGGGCCUUGCGCUAUCAGAUGAGCCCAGGUCGGAUUAGCUAGUAGGUGAGGUAAAGGCUCACCUAGGCGACGAUCCGUAGCUGGUCUGAGAGGAUGAUCAGCCACACUGGAACUGAGACACGGUCCAGGACUCCUACGGGAGGCAGCAGUGGGGAAUAUUGGACAAUGGGCGAAAGGCCUGAUCCAGCCAUGCCGCGUGUCGUGA
rnacentral:rRNA from 1 species